AGCCGUUACGAUGUCCAAACCUCGUCGGUAGUUUUGUGGACGUUAACGGUUUUCCAGAAGAAAGCUUUCCUCCCAAACAACUGUGUCAUGUAUCCAUUUACACUUCAACCGGAAGUAAGACGCUCAGCAGAUGUCACUGGAGCAUCUCAGGAAGCGGCUGCUGCUGGAGGCGGCGCAGACCAGACAGAAUGAUGAUGUCAGAGCCCUGAUGGCCAAUGGGGCUCCGCUCACAACAGACUGGUUUGUCUGGCACAGUGUGAGCGCUGCAUUAGAGGAGACUCAGAGAUGUGGAGGUUGUUAUGUCAUGUGAUGACAGAAAUCACUGCAGUGAAAGAGAAGUUUGGGGCCUAAAUGUAUCUGACAAAGCUGGGCUGUCAUCACCCCACCUCAGAGGCGCUGCUGCGUGCCGGUGUCGGUGGACAGGACCCCUCACCAUGUGGCCGCAGGGAGGGAGGGUCAUUAAAGGCUGCUGUCAUUAAAUAUAAUAAGAGCGGCGCCAACAUCAACGCCAAAAGAUAUGCUAAAGAUGACGCCGCUGCACCGGGCAGCUCAGCACGGCCACAGGGAGGUGGCCGAGCUCCUGCUGAGGUACGGCGCAGACGUCCACCACUGCCUCAGCAAGUUCGACAAGACGCCCUUUCGACAUCGCCAUGGAUACCAGCAACACUGAGCUGGUGAUACUGCUACAGAUUUAAGGUCUCCUUUGGAUGAAAUCGCCACCAGCAGCGCAAGACACCAAACUGCACAGAAAAUGAACCAUUGGAGGAUAAACAAUAAAACAAACUAUUAAGUUUUAAAUCUAAGCCUACGCCUGUUGUGGCCAUUAUGUUUUAUCCACCAUUAACCAUGUGAUUACCUUUGGUCAGAAGACAGGGCAGCUUUUAAAAUAGAAAAAAAAAAAAGAUUGUCAUACCAUCAAUGAAAUGAUUCUCAAAAUGUUUUCUCACUUUCAGACCAGUUUAACCUGCAGUUGUUCAGGGCGUCUGAAGAGCAAAAACUGUUGAGCUGUGACUCUUUUCUAAUAGAAUGACAGUAGUGGAUAAAAGUGUCACUUCCAAUUACUGGAUGUCGAUGCUAUCCACUUAGUAUAAAUCGAGUGAUGUCAACUAAAGACACUGAUACUGGAUGAAUGUUCAGUUAUCUAGUGUGUAAACCUUUUAUCUUCGUUUCAGACAGAUGAAAAUGGAAACAAUUGGUUGGCUCCUAUAUUAUACAUCAGUGUGUUUCUGUGAUUCAUUUUAUGCUUAACUAAUUAAUGCCUUACAAAUGAAUCUGAAAUGUAAUAAGAAACCAAAAAUUGUAUUAUAUACUGCUUUCUCCCUCAAAAGGGCAAGUAAAUAUCGAUGAAAAAAUAAUGAUUAAAAAUUGUGACCAGAUUUUUGGCAAAAUGCCCUUGAAUCAACCCCACUGGACUGUUCACAGUGAUAGAUGAGAAAGAGGGUAUAUACAAAAAGAUUAACUCAAGACUUUUAAAGUUUAAAGUGGCUAUAAUCAGUAUUUUUAUAUUAACAAUAAAUCACUUGACUACUAGCUGCAGUUCAUGUCAGCUUUAGCAUUUUAGCAUCUUUCAACUUAAAAAUAACUUUAUUUAUCUGUUUGGAACUUCAUUUGUGUGAAAGUGUAAGUACAAACAAAACACAUGGCUGGAAAAUUAAAAAAAACAAAGUAGACAACAAACAAGUACAGUUAAGCUAGUGUAAAACAGUUUAAGUGUGCUUCAAAUUGUCCAUAUAUAUGAAUAGUAGUAUGUGAAAGGGUCAGUAAGGUCAAACCCCAGGCUAACAAUCAGGCAUUCAUGAGUUUGAUGGAUGUAUAUGCACAAUGCUUGACAUGCUUGGUCCUGAAUAUGAAUGUUUGUAUCUGCAGCCUGAAGGUAGAUGUCUGUAUUGGUUGUGUAGUGUGUGUGUAGCAUCUGAAGCUUUUUGUAGUCCUUUCAUCUUAGUCCAUCUGCUGUAAAUGCUGCUUGAUGAAUCUUCCUCUAGUCCAAUGAUUUUGCUGCUCAUUCUGAUGAUUUUGUUGAGAGGACUGAGGUGGAUGUUAGUCAGUGCACCAGACCAGGCUGUUAUGUUGUACCUGUAGAAAAAUAAUAGGACCAAUUUGAUGGAUCAGCAGUUUAUGGAUAGUCCACAACUUUACUGUUUAGUUUUCCUCUUGCUGCGUUAGCAGCGUAAUGUUGGAGUACUGUUAUCUAACAAUACAAGUCACCCAUUUCUUCAGGCAAAUCAGAAGGUGCCUUGGCUGCCGAGUCCGUGGAAACAACUGUUCAGCGUCAGUGUCAUCGCUAUAGUGAUGGACAACACGGCAACCUACAGCCUUAUGCAUCUCAUCAAUCUCACCCAAAUGGCACCUGUUUCAUAGAAUGACUCAGCUAUCAUCUAUAUGGGGAUAUAGAGGUAUAGCUUUAUUGCAGAUCAACUUCUGUAAGGGCAUGUACAUGUGUGUAUACAUGUCUUGCUGUGGUCAGCAACCUACCACUUUCCACCUUAACCAGUUCAUCCCAGGUACAUGCGUGUGUCUCAUAGCUUGUGAUUAGGUAUAUUGUGUAUCAUCAUUUCAUGCAAACAUAAACUUCAUUUUUGAUUUAAAACCUUUUCCCUCAGCCAGUGCCAAGUACUUCUAAGCUCCUGGCAACACCUGCCAGACAGAGCAGAGAAAUGGCGAGUUGUUUUCCCUCCCAGAGACCAGGAGAGGCAGCCCAGGUGACAGUUCAAGGCAGCGAUGGGGAAGAACACCUGCUGCCCUGGGAAGGAGAGUCUCCAGAGCUGUCUUCUUGGACUGAAUUCGGGCCCUGCAAACUGGCCCAGUGUCAGCCACCUGGUGGAGGCCAUUUUCAACCAGCUCUGCCGUCUUCACCCAGUGGCCACAUGGUCCGGAGGGACCAUGAGGACUCGGUGGUCAUUCAUUCUCAAGGAUUAUGUGGCCGUUAGAGAGGCAGUGCUGUCCAACCUGAGGUUGAUGGCUCAGACCAACAUCCAGCUCUUGAAUUAAAUUGAGGACUCAGUGGUGCUGGCCAGACAAAGGGUCUAUCAUUGGUACAGGUGGGACAAGGACAGCCCCUUAACUCCAAUGUCCCAGAGGAGAAGCCUGGGGCUUCCAGCAGGAGUCUGCGUCCUCCUCCUCCUUCCUCCAAAUGAAGAACAGCAUGGCCCCUCAUCCAGUGCUGUUGGUCCUCCCCUCUUAUGUUCGGCCACUUCCUCUAACUGGACUACCUGUACCCUGGACCAGAGCCUACAGGAAGAGGAAGGCGGCCCAAAGCUGCUGUGGCAGAGCAGGGGCCACUGCCUGGAGGAAAAACCCGCUGGCCGACACGCACUCUUUAGUGUGAACUGAAAAUUGACAGUUAAGAUUUUGAAGCAGUUGUCAGUGUAAUACAGCUCAUGUAAAGUAGUUUUAUUCAUAACUUAAUUGUUGUCAUCCAAAAGGUGUUUAAUAAAUAA